AUCUCGUCAUCAGUUGCUGGGGUUCAGGUACGUUGCUGAAUCAAAUUUGGUACAAAACGAGUUUUCUUACCGGACAAAUAGAUCAUUUGCACUCAACGAAAAUGAUGCUGGAGGUUGCCUACUUUGCUGCAGCUCAAAAUAAAAGGGGGCAGUACCAAAGUGUUAAUCAUGUAUCCUGUUGUCGGUUGUGUUCUCCCCAACCACUACUGCUUCUGAUGUACUUAUCCACAAUACCAAAUUGCCUAUUUUGUUCAAGCCGCCUUGCGUAGUUCUCAGUAGAAAUAGGAC
rnacentral:lncRNA from 1 species